ACUCAGCCUCUCCCUUUCCCCCGCCCUCUCUUCAUCUCCCACGCUCCCUCACCCUCUCUCUCUCGCACUCAGCCUAUCCCUUUCCCUCGCCCCCUCUCGAUCUCUGUCUCUUGGCCCCAUUCCCCUCUCUGUUUCCCAACCUCUCUCUCUCUCUCUCUCUCUCUCUCUCUAUUUUUCUACAUGUCCUAAACAGCAUCAAUGACUAGCUCUAACCCUCUGAGUUCAACGAGUGGAUCAGAUACGAGGAUUUCAAUGAGGAUGGUUGCCAAGUGAGCACCCACCGGUGGAGUUGUGGUGAUGGUGAUGGUGAUGCCAAAUGGAGAGGGUGGAAGCAGAGGUUUUGAUGGGCUCGGCAGUUGUGUGCCGCAGAGUUGUGGCAGCUAGUUGAAGAUGUGGUGAUGGUGAUUUGCUGUUGAAUCUCAGCAGGCUCGAAGAUGAGUAGGGUUCAACAACUCUGUAUCCCCUGCCCAUGUAGACGAUGAUGAAGAAUCCAUCUUUCAUUAGACUUGUUUCUUUCAGGGUAGAGGUCAGUAGUAUGAAUAAUGUUUGAUGGUAUCCACAAUUACAUCAAUUCCAAAAAGAGCUCAAGCUAAGUUUAUCUUAUGUUUUGUCAAACUUGUUCUCAUGUGACUACAAGGCCUAUAGACGAUAACUAAAACUUUGGGAAGUCAUCAUUGUAAUAUUACAGGUAUUGCUAUUUCCUGCUCCCAAGCAAGUUGUUAAUUUUAAUGUUUUUUUUUUCUCGCUUCAAGUGCUUCAAAUGUGAGGAAAUCGUUUCUUUACAUCUGAAGCAUUUUCAAUGUCUUUCAGCUAUAUUAGUUGUCUGCAUAAGAAUUACCAUGAUAUGUUUUUACGAGUUAUGGUAAAAUACUCCAAAUUUUGCUAGUUGUCUUCAUUGUUGCUCAGUCAUUAGAUGCAAUCGCCAAAGGAAAUGAUUUUCUCAGUAGCAGAUUGGGCUACGUUCAAAGACUUUGUAUGGGAGGGCAGGGCAGAUCCAGUCUAUCUGUUGCAGAGACUUAGGCUGCAGAUUUUUUGUUUGUUUGUUUAGAGUAUCUGGAUAAUGUAGGGUGACGGGUAGUAGCUGGCGGAGGGUGAUUAGGAAUUGUCUCCUUGCUAUUGGUUGGCAAGGAGGCGUAGAAGCUGAAGUUUUCUGCAUUUUGAGUGGCUGCUUGGCAUGCUCUGAUUUUUUUCAUUCCCCUUUCCAGUCUUCUAUUUUCCGAUAUGAUAGGUACUUCUCCUAUGAACAUUUCUAUGCGAUAUACUGCAAAUUUUGGGAGCUGGAUAUGGAUCAUGAUUUCUUGAUUGAUAAAGAGAAUCUUAUUAGAUAUGGUAACCAUG